rnacentral:tRNA from 1 species
GGGGAUGUAGCUCAGUGGUACAGCACCUGCCUGGCAAGUAUGAGGUCCUGAGUUCGAUCUCAGAUACACA